GAUGAACGCUAGCGGCAGGCCUAACACAUGCAAGUCGAGGGGUAGGACACCUCGGUGUUUGAGACCGGCGCACGGGUGUGUAACGCGUAUGCAACCUACCUUCUACAGAGGGAUAGCUCAGAGAAAACUGGAUUAAUACCUAAUAGUAUAUGUAUAUCGCAUGUUAGCCAUAUUAAAGUUCCUACGGUAAAAGAUGGGCAUGCGUCCUAUUAGCUAGCAGGUAAGGGAACGGCUUACCAUCGGUACGAACGGUAGGUGUCCGGAGAGGGAGAGCCCCCACACUGGAACUAAGACACGGACCAGACUCCGACGGAAGACAGCAGUGAGGAAUAUUGGACAAUGGGCGCAAGCCUGAUCCAGCCAUGCCGCGUGCAGGAAGAAGCAUCUAUGGUAUGUAAACUGCUUUUGUACGGGAAGAAACACUCCUACGUGUAGGGUCUUGACGGUACCGUAAGAAUAAGGAUCGGCUAACUCCGUGCCAGCAGCCGCAGUAA
rnacentral:rRNA from 1 species